rnacentral:rRNA from 1 species
AGGAAUAUUGGUCAAUGGACGAGAGUCUGAACCAGCCAAGUAGCGUGAAGGAUGAAGGUUCUAUGGAUUGUAAACUUCUUUUAUACGGGAAUAAAGUGAGGCACGUGUGCCUUUUUGUAUGUACCGUAUGAAUAAGGAUCGGCUAACUCCGUGCCAGCAGCCGCGGUAAUACGGAGGAUCCGAGCGUUAUCCGGAUUUAUUGGGUUUAAAGGGAGCGUAGGCGGACGCUUAAGUCAGUUGUGAAAGUUUGCGGCUCAACCGUAAAAUUGCAGUUGAUACUGGGUGUCUUGAGUACAGUAGAGGCAGGCGGAAUUCGUGGUGUAGCGGUGAAAUGCUUAGAUAUCACGAAGAACUCCGAUUGCGAAGGCAGCUUGCUGGACUGUAACUGACGCUGAUGCUCGAAAGUGUGGGUAUCAAACAGGAUUAGAUACCCUGGUAGUCCACACAGUAAACGAUGAAUACUCGCUGUUUGCGAUAUACAGUAAGCGGCCAAGCGAAAGCGUUAAGUAUUCCACCUGGGGAGUACGCCGGCAACGGUGAAACUCAAAGGAAUUGACGGGGGCCCGCACAAGCGGAGGAACAUGUGGUUUAAUUCGAUGAUACGCGAGGAACCUUACCCGGGCUUGAAUUGCAACUGAAUGAUGUGGAGACAUGUCAGCCGCAAGGCAGUUGUGAAGGUGCUGCAUGGUUGUCGUCAGCUCGUGCCGUGAGGUGUCGGCUUAAGUGCCAUAACGAGCGCAACCCUUAUCGAUAGUUACCAUCAGGUUAUGCUGGGGACUCUGUCGAGACUGCCGUCGUAAGAUGUGAGGAAGGUGGGGAUGACGUCAAAUCAGCACGGCCCUUACGUCCGGGGCUACACACGUGUUACAAUGGGGGGUACAGAAGGCAGCUACACGGCGACGUGAUGCUAAUCCCGAAAGCCUCUCUCAGUUCGGAUUGGAGUCUGCAACCCGACUCCAUGAAGCUGGAUUCGCUAGUAAUCGCGCAUCAGCCACGGCGCGGUGAAUACGUUCCCG